AGGGAAACCACGCCCAGUAACUCAAAUCCCCGAGACUGCCUCCGGGACUGAGAGGUGAAGGGAAGUCCUUGACACCUUAACUAGAUUGCACCUGCUCAGCGUCUCCUCCUCUGGCCAAGGUCCAUGGCUACUGAGACUAACCCCAAGGACCGAAAGUCCAAGAUUGCUCCAGUGCAGGUUAUCCCACUGCAGCAGGUCUAUCCGAUGCAGAAGGUCUACCCGAUGCAGCCAGUCGUCCUGGUGCCCCUGAAUCCCCCGGAGAAUGAUUAUUUGUUUCUCUCCAUUGCUUCCUUCUUCUUCUUCAUUCUGCUGGCAAUCCCAGCCCUCUUGUUCUCCUUCAAGACCCGUGAAGCCAACAUCCUUGGGGACCAGAGGAAAGCCCAGAGAAAUUCCAGACUGGCCUUGGGCUUCAGCCUCUCAAGCAUCCUGGUGGGUUCCACUCUCAUUAUUUCCUCCAUUGUUGUCAGAGUCAUGAAACAGUGAGAAUGAGAUCAUCCUGAGAGCUCAGCUCCUCAGAAAGUUAUGAACUGUACCUCAUGGGUCCUCUUGGAGCCUUUGAGCUUGAACAUCAGUAACCUACCUAUACUGGGGGGAAGUUCCCCACUAUUGGAUUUUUGAGAGCAAUAAAGUUUAUGAGGAAG